CCCAGUGAACAAUUAAACGGCCGCGGUAUCCUAACCGUGCAAAGGUAGCAUAAUCAUUUGUCUAUUAAUUGUAGACCCGUAUGAAAGGCAAAAUGAGAGCCUAACUGUCUCUUAUAACAAAUCAAUUAAACUGAUCUCCCAGUACAAAAGCUGGGAUACCCACAUAAGACCAGAAGACCCUGUGAAGCUUUAACUAACCUAUUAAACCAUAUAAUAGCUAGUUUCGGUUGGGGCGACCUUGGAAUAAAAAAGAACUUCCAAAAAAUAUGAUCUUCUCAUAUAAAAGGCAGACAAGCCACAAUUAGACCCAGAAUUUCUGAUACAUGAACCAAGUUACUCCAGGGAUAACAGCGCUAUCUUCUUUAAGAGCCCAUAUCAAAAAGAAGGUUUACGACCUCGAUGUUGGAUCAGGACAUCCUAGCAAUGCAACAGUUACUAAGGGUUCGUUUGUUCAACGAUUAAUAGUCCUACGUGAUCUGAG
rnacentral:rRNA from 1 species